rnacentral:rRNA from 1 species
CACUAUCGUUAACUGAAUACAUAGGUUAACGAGGCGAACCGGGGGAACUGAAACAUCUAAGUACCCCGAGGAAAAGAAAUCAACCGAGAUUCCCCCAGUAGCGGCGAGCGAACGGGGAGCAGCCCAGAGUCUGAAUCAGCUUGUGUGUUAGUGGAACGGUCUGGAAAGUCCGACGGUACAGGGUGAUAGUCCCGUACACCAAAAUGCACAGGUUGUGAACUCGAAGAGUAGGGCGGGACACGUGGUAUCCUGUCUGAAUAUGGGGGGACCAUCCUCCAAGGCUAAAUACUCCUGACUGACCGAUAGUGAACCAGUACCGUGAGGGAAAGGCGAAAAGAACCCCGGCGAGGGGAGUGAAAAAGAACCUGAAACCGUGUACGUACAAGCAGUGGGAGCACCUUCGGGUGUGACUGCGUACCUUUUGUAUAAUGGGUCAGCGACUUAUAUUCUGUAGCAAGGUUAACCGUAUAGGGGAGCCGCAGGGAAACCGAGUCUUAACUGGGCGUUAAGUUGCAGGGUAUAGACCCGAAACCCGGUGAUCUAGCCAUGGGCAGGUUGAAGGUUGGGUAACACUAACUGGAGGACCGAACCGACUAAUGUUGAAAAAUUAGCGGAUGACUUGUGGCUGGGGGUGAAAGGCCAAUCAAACCGGGAGAUAGCUGGUUCUCCCCGAAAGCUAUUUAGGUAGCGCCUCGUGAAUUCAUCUUCGGGGGUAGAGCACUGUUUCGGCUAGGGGGUCAUCCCGACUUACCAACCCGAUGCAAACUACGAAUACCGAAGAAUGUUAUCACGGGAGACACACGGCGGGUGCUAACGUCCGUCGUGAAGAGGGAAACAACCCAGACCGCCAGCUAAGGUCCCAAAGUCAUGGUUAAGUGGGAAACGAUGUGGGAAGGCACAGACAGCCAGGAUGUUGGCUUAGAAGCAGCCAUCAUUUAAAGAAAGCGUAAUAGCUCACUGGUCGAGUCGGCCUGCGCGGAAGAUGUAACGGGGCUAAACCAUGCACCGAAGCUGCGGCAGCGACACUAUGUGUUGUUGGGUAGGGGAGCGUUCUGUAAGCCUGCGAAGGUGACCUGUGAGGGUUGCUGGAGGUAUCAGAAGUGCGAAUGCUGACAUAAGUAACGAUAAAGCGGGUGAAAAGCCCGCUCGCCGGAAGACCAAGGGUUCCUGUCCAACGUUAAUCGGGGCAGGGUGAGUCGACCCCUAAGGCGAGGCCGAAAGGCGUAGUCGAUGGGAAACAGGUUAAUAUUCCUGUACUUGGUGUUACUGCGAAGGGGGGACGGAGAAGGCUAUGUUAGCCGGGCGACGGUUGUCCCGGUUUAAGCAUGUAGGCUGGUUAUCCAGGCAAAUCCGGAUAAUCAAGGCUGAGGUGUGAUGACGAGGCACUACGGUGCUGAAGUAACAAAUGCCCUGCUUCCAGGAAAAGCCUCUAAGCAUCAGGUAACAUCAAAUCGUACCCCAAACCGACACAGGUGGUCAGGUAGAGAAUACCAAGGCGCUUGAGAGAACUCGGGUGAAGGAACUAGGCAAAAUGGUGCCGUAACUUCGGGAGAAGGCACGCUGGUGUGUAGGUGAAGUCCCUGCGGAUGGAGCUGAGACCAGUCGAAGAUACCAGCUGGCUGCAACUGUUUAUUAAAAACACAGCACUGUGCAAACACGAAAGUGGACGUAUACGGUGUGACGCCUGCCCGGUGCCGGAAGGUUAAUUGAUGGGGUUAUCCGUAAGGAGAAGCUCUUGAUCGAAGCCCCGGUAAACGGCGGCCGUAACUAUAACGGUCCUAAGGUAGCGAAAUUCCUUGUCGGGUAAGUUCCGACCUGCACGAAUGGCGUAAUGAUGGCCAGGCUGUCUCCACCCGAGACUCAGUGAAAUUGAACUCGCUGUGAAGAUGCAGUGUACCCGCGGCAAGACGGAAAGACCCCGUGAACCUUUACUAUAGCUUGACACUGAACAUUGAGCCUUGAUGUGUAGGAUAGGUGGGAGGCUUUGAAGCGUGGACGCCAGUCUGCGUGGAGCCAACCUUGAAAUACCACCCUUUAAUGUUUGAUGUUCUAACGUUGGCCCCUUACCGGGGUUGCGGACAGUGUCUGGUGGGUAGUUUGACUGGGGCGGUCUCCUCCCAAAGCGUAACGGAGGAGCACGAAGGUUAGCUAAUCCUGGUCGGACAUCAGGAGGUUAGUGCAAUGGCAUAAGCUAGCUUGACUGCGAGCGUGACGGCGCGAGCAGGUGCGAAAGCAGGUCAUAGUGAUCCGGUGGUUCUGAAUGGAAGGGCCAUCGCUCAACGGAUAAAAGGUACUCCGGGGAUAACAGGCUGAUACCGCCCAAGAGUUCAUAUCGACGGCGGUGUUUGGCACCUCGAUGUCGGCUCAUCACAUCCUGGGGCUGAAGUAGGUCCCAAGGGUAUGGCUGUUCGCCAUUUAAAGUGGUACGCGAGCUGGGUUUAGAACGUCGUGAGACAGUUCGGUCCCUAUCUGCCGUGGGCGCUGGAGAAUUGAGGGGGGCUGCUCCUAGUACGAGAGGACCGGAGUGGACGCAUCACUGGUGUUCGGGUUGUCAUGCCAAUGGCACUGCCCGGUAGCUAAAUGCGGAAGAGAUAAGUGCUGAAAGCAUCUAAGCACGAAACUUGCCCCGAGAUGAGUUCUCCCUGAGACUUUAAGUCUCCUGAAGGAACGUU